UUUUCUUCUUCUCCGAUGGUUCAAGUUUGAGUUCCAACCACAGAUUUGAGUGUGAGAGAAGACCGCACAGAUUUGAGUUCCAACAACAGAUUCUUUCCUCUGUGCGGUCUUCUCCGGUCUAUCCGUCUGUGAUUUUGUCCUUUUCUUCUCCAAUUUGCGUCUUCUCCAUUGCAGGUUAGCGUUUCGUUAUUUUGGCUUAUUGUGGUUGGUUGUAUUUGAUGUUUUCGUUCCGGUCUCUAAAAUUUUUGUUUCUUUCUCAGCUCAGUGUUCUUGCAUUUGAUUACUAGAAAAUCAGAGCUCAAGCCCAAAAGAACCGAACCCAAAUCCCAACUCCAAUCCUACACUCUCAACUUCUCUGAGACAAUCGUUUUCGAAGCAAUCAGAUGGUGCCAUGGCGAGCUCCAGCGUCGAGGCGCCGUCGACGAGUAGGAUUCGGAUAGGGGAGAACGGAGAGUGGGUGUCGUUCGGCAGAGCUCAGGGCGGCAAUUUUGUAAAUUACUUGCCCAAAUCUCCAGCCGUUUGGGUUCCACUGUAGCAUCUGAUGGUUUAAGGAACCAUAUAGAGAGUCUGCUGAAUCCACCAACUCUGACAGCUCCUGGAUUUUCGGCUAAAAUUCAGGUUGGGUUUCCAUGACAUGAAUUUUGAAGGACACUCAUUGAAGAUUGUUCAAGACAUGUCCCGUCGAAAGGUAGAAUUUCAAAGCGCAUGGGCAACAGUUGAGGACGCUAAUACUAGGGUCACAUUUCUAAUCAAAAGAGCCAAUAUACAAUGCCACAAGCCCACAAGACAACACGAACUAAGAGAUAUAGAGAGAGGAAGAAAGAGAAGCCGACCUUGUAGAUGCCGGAGGCAUGUAGCACGGAUACGGAGGCGGAGGCACCGGCGCCGAC